UGUGCCUGAUGUCUUCACAACAAAACAACUGUAUUGUUCAUAGUUCAUCAGCCUACACUUACAUUAACCUGACCUCUAACAGCUGUGUGAAAUACAACUCCAGCUGGAAGGAAAAUAUGUUUAAGUAACGUGAAAAUUCACAACAUUAGUAUUUUUUUUCUUUUACCCGUGACCUCAAUCCUUCCCUAACUUACACCAUACUCACAUUCAUACCUUAAUCUAACCAAGUCUUAACAAUUGCAGUGGCAAUAAAUGAGUUGUAAAACUGUUAAAUGUAACAAUGUAGUUUGGAUUUCUUUAAAUGGAAAAGUUUUCUAUGGAACAGAUGAUGCCCUGAAGAUAAGGGUGUCAGCUCAGAAAGUCUGUUUUUUUUUUCCUAAUCUGUCACGUCUCAAUAACAACCACUUCAAAACAUCAAACGCUUGGGCGAAUUUUUGGAAGAAGCUUUCCUUGAGGAUCUUGGCCAAAAAUAACUGAUGCUGAUUCGCUAGCUCAUUGUGGCUUGACACAUUCCUUGAAAGUAACACCCAAAAAAAACUUCCACAGGUACAGAGUUCAGUAUGUAGAGAAACAGUCCUGUGCUGUAACAAAUAAAGAUUUCUCUCUCUUUACUCACAGACUUAAUGUUCUUAUGUUCUCCAAAUAUGUUCAAGGAAAUAUUGUAGUCUCUCCUUGUAGUUAGUAAAUGUUAGCGUGUUCAUAAGUUGCAUUGAAUGGUGGCUUUUUUUAUUUUUAGGACACACCAACUCUGCAGCAACAGCUCUUUGCCAGUCAUGCUGUUUGAUCAUCAUUCUCUGUCAGUCUUGUUGUAUCGGCCAGUUUUUCUGUGGAUCAUUGUGCUGAAAGGUUUGUGGUGAGGUUGGACUCGGUAAGUUGGUGUUCCCCUACAUUUGCUACACAUACUUAGUUGACUUUGUUAGAAACACUAGGUAAGUGUGGUAUGUGCCACCUACAGUAUGUGGUUUUAUCUUUCAAUAUUUUUUAGUCAGGUUUGUGUUUGGAUUACUUUUACAUGAGGUUAGAGACUAGUUAAGUCCGGUUUUGUUUUGUUGAGUUGAUUUAUUUGGCACAACCACUUUGUCCAAUCCUCACCCCCACCUUGUUCAUUAAAUUCAGUUUUUUUUGUAUAAGAUAAACAUUCUCUUACUCUUUGGCUUUGUCAGUUUCUUUGGUUGUCUGUUACCAGGGACUUCAAAUGACAUGCACAAAAGGAGCCACAGGUCGGAUUGGAUCCCCGGCCGCCUGCUUGGAGGACUACAGCCUCCAUACAUGGGGCACGCUCACUAACCAUUGCCCCACCAGCGCCCCAAAUGGUGGCUUUUUAUUAGGGUACAGACUGAUAGGGUGCCGGUGGCCUAGUGGUUAGUUUGAGUGCCCCUUGUAUAGAGGCUACAGUCCUCAAGCAGCCCAGGUUCAAAUACAACCUGUGGCUCCUUUACCAUAUUUAAUUUUCAACUCUCUAUUUCCCUGAUUUCCAAAGCGAUCCACUGUCCUGUCUCUUCCAUAAAAGCAUAAAUACCUUCCCUCCCCCAACAUUAUAUGAUAAAGGUUUGAAACUUCAGUUAGAUAUUACACAACAGUUCAUAUUGUUUGACUUCCCUUCAAGCAGAAUGUCUUCUUAGAGGACCUGAACUGGCAUGUUUAUUCCUUUGUUUAUCAUGUCACCCUUUCAUCCCUCAAGGGUUCCUGGAUGCAUCUAUGAUGAGCUAAUGUCUGCUGCUGAAUAUAUGACGUACAAGGAAAUGUCAGCUCUGUCUGCUUGGUUCCUGUUGUCUUAUCUGUGCUGCACUCAAACACAAUCUAGUCGCAGAGACACAACUGCUGUCAUUGAUCUCUCACUCUGGCUCCCUCCUGAUUGAGGUUCAUUCCUUUCACCUGCUCUCACCUGCACACCAGCUCUCCAUUUCCUCAUCAACUCAGCAGUAUAUAUACCCCGGCUCUCCAUGCACUCAUUGCCAGAUUGUUGUAUCAACUACUGCGGUAGACGACGUCUCGGGCUAAUUAGGAUUUUGAAAGAUCUUUGAAAUUAAUCUUUUGUGCUUGUUUUAGUUUUUGAGUCCCAUCCUGUUUUUUCCUUUGCUUCAGGAUCACCAUUCACCCACCUGCCUUCCUGCUCAGCCAUCUACCUCAACCUGAUCUCUGGACUCAAAACUGCUCAGCCACACUCACACCCCAACUCUAGUCUGGUCAGCCUUCAUCCCCUUCACUCUGCUAACCUCCAGAGUCUUCAACCUAUCUUCAUCUCCAUUUGCCACAAUAAACCUCAUUACCAAUCAAC